AUUGAACGCUGGCGGCAGGCCUAACACAUGCAAGUCGAACGAGUGGCGGACGGGUGAGUAAUGUCUGGGAAACUGCCUGAUGGAGGGGGAUCACUACUGGAAACGGUAGCUAAUACCGCAUACCAUCAGAUGUGCCCAGAUGGGAUUAGCUAGUAGGUGGGGUAACGGCUCACCUAGGCGACGAUCCCUAGCUGGUCUGGGAGGAUGACCAGCCACACUGGACCUGAGACACGGUCCAGACUCCUACGGGAGGCAGCAGGGGGAAAUAUUGCACAAUGGGCGCAAGCCUGAUGCAGCCAUGCCGCGUGUAUGAAGAAGGCCGUCGGGGUGUAAAGUACUUUCAGCGGGGAGGCGUUACCCGCAGAAGAAGCACCGGCUAACUCCGUGCCAGCAGCCGCGGUAAUAC
rnacentral:rRNA from 1 species